rnacentral:tmRNA from 1 species
UACGGAUUCGACAGGGGUAGAUCGAGCUUGGGUUGCGUGUCGAGGUUACGUCUCGUAAAACGUUACUCAGUUAAAUAUAACUGGAAACAAUAAUAACACUACUCUAGCAGCAGCGUAAGCUCUGCUAGGAUCCUUCCUGCUAUCGCCCAUGUGGCAGAUUGAAGGGUCUCAAACUAUAGUGGGCUAUGCUGUUAGUCGCCGUCUGAGGCUGACAGAAGAAUUCCAAUCAGACUAGCCACUUGGAAGCCAGUCGUUAGGCUGAAAAGCUGGCGAAUGACAAUAUAACGACUACACACGUAGAUACCCGAGUGACGAUAUCUCUGGACGUGGGUUCGAUUA